GCCGGCGUGGCGGAAUCGGCAGACGCGCUAGACUCAAAAUCUGGUACUCGCGAGAGUGUGGGGGUUCAAGUCCCUCCGCCGGCACCA
rnacentral:tRNA from 1 species